UACGGAGGGGGCUAGCGUUGUUCGGAAUUACUGGGCGUAAAGCGCACGUAGGCGGCUUUGUAAGUUAGAGGUGAAAGCCCAGGGCUCAACCCUGGAAUUGCCUUUAAAACUGCAUCGCUAGAAUUGUGGAGAGGUAAGUGGAAUUCCGAGUGUAGAGGUGAAAUUCGUAGAUAUUCGGAAGAACACCAGUGGCGAAGGCGACUUACUGGACACAUAUUGACGCUGAGGUGCGAAAGCGGUGGGGAGCAAACAGGG
rnacentral:rRNA from 1 species